rnacentral:rRNA from 1 species
UACAGAGGGGGCAAGCGUUGUUCGGAAUUACUGGGCGUAAAGGGCGCGUAGGCGGCCCGCUAAGUCGAACGUGAAAUCCCUGGGCUCAACCCAGGAACUGCGUCCGAUACUGGCGGGCUUGAAUCCGGGAGAGGGAUGCGGAAUUCCAGGUGUAGCGGUGAAAUGCGUAGAUAUCUGGAGGAACACCGGUGGCGAAGGCGGCAUCCUGGACCGGCAUUGACGCUGAGGCGCGAAAGCUAGGGGAGCAAACGGGG